rnacentral:rRNA from 1 species
UCAGUGGCGAACGGGUGCGUAACACGUGAGCAACCUGCCCUUGUGUGGGGGAUAACCAGGGGAAACCCUGGCUAAUACCGCAUGGACUCGGUGGUCCACAUGGGCGAUCGAGGAAAGCUCCUUCGGGAGUGCGCAGGGAGGGGCUCGCGGCGUAUCAGCUAGUUGGUGGGGUAACGGCCCACCAAGGCGAUGACGCGUAGGGGGUCUGAGAGGAUGGCCCCCCACAUUGGGACUGAGAUACGGCCCAGACUCCUACGGGAGGCAGCAGUGGGGAAUCUUGCGCAAUGGCCGAAAGGCUGACGCAGCGACGCCGCGUGCGGGAGGAAGCUCUUCGGGGUGUAAACCGCUGUCAGGAGGGACGAAGGUCCCAAGGAGGCAAUGCCUUGGGGAUGACGGUACCUCCAGAGGAAGCGCCGGCUA